rnacentral:rRNA from 1 species
AACGCUAGCUACAGGCUUAACACAUGCAAGUCGAGGGGUAACAAGAGAAAAGCUUGCUUUUCUUGUUGACGACCGGCGCACGGGUGAGUAACGCGUAUCCAACCUGCCUAUAACUAGGGAAUAACCUUGCGAAAGUAAGACUAAUACCCUAUGAUUUCCUUUGAUGACAUCAGAUUAGGAAUAAAGAUUUAUCGGUUAUAGAUGGGGAUGCGUCUGAUUAGCUUGUUGGCGGGGUAACGGCCCACCAAGGCAACGAUCAGUAGGGGUUCUGAGAGGAAGGUCCCCCACAUUGGAACUGAGACACGGUCCAAACUCCUACGGGAGGCAGCAGUGAGGAAUAUUGGUCAAUGGGCGGAAGCCUGAACCAGCCAAGUAGCGUGCAGGAUGACGGCCCUAUGGGUUGUAAACUGCUUUUAUACAGGAAUAAAGUUAGCCACGUGUGGUUAUUUGUAGGUACUGUAUGAAUAAGGACCGGCUAAUUCCGUGCCAGCAGCCGCGGUAAUACGGAAGGUCCAGGCGUUAUCCGGAUUUAUUGGGUUUAAAGGGAGCGUAGGCCGUCUGUUAAGCGUGUUGUGAAAUGUAGAUGCUCAACAUCUGAAUUGCAGCGCGAACUGGCAGACUUGGGUGUGCGCAACGUAGGCGGAAUUCGUGGUGUAGCGGUGAAAUGCUUAGAUAUCACGAAGAACUCCGAUUG